rnacentral:rRNA from 1 species
UACGUAGGGGGCAAGCGUUGUCCGGAUUUACUGGGCGUAAAGAGCGUGUAGGCGGCCACGCAGGUCCGUUGUGAAAACUGGAGGCUCAACCUCCAGCUGUCGACGGAAACCGUAUGGCUAGAGUCCGGAAGAGGAGAGUGGAAUUCCUGGUGUAGCGGUGAAAUGCGCAGAUAUCAGGAGGAACACCAAUGGCGAAGGCAGCUCGCUGGGACGGUACUGACGCUGAGACGCGAAAGCGUGGGGAGCAAACAGG